rnacentral:lncRNA from 1 species
UAGACUGUAACAGAACAGACAAGAACUGUGGAGUUAUAUCAAAAGUUGCAACAUGUAUAUAAUUGGAAUAUCAAAAAGAGAAGAAGAAGAAAAUGGAGCAGAAGAAACAUUUGCAGAAAUAAUGACUGAGAAGUUCUCAAAUUAAGAACAGAUAUCAAGCCACAGAACCAGGAAGCUUAGACAAUAUCAGCAGAAUAAACACCAAAGACUCCACACGGAGACACACCACAUUCAAACUGCAAAAAACAAAAAUAAAGAAAAAAAAAUUUAAUGAAUCUAGGAUUGGAGAACACUUUCCAUACUGAGGUAAAAGAAUACAAAUUACCAGAGACUUCUCAUGAAAAAUAAUGCAAACAAGAAGAGAAUGAAAUGAAAUCAUUAAAAUGCUCAAAGAAAAAGACUACAACCAUGAGUUCUAUAUCCAUUUAAAUUAUUAUUUCUUCAAAAAGAAGAAAUAAAAACUUUCUUAGACAAACAAAAACUAAAAAUUCCCACCCAGUGGACUUGCUCUGCAAGACAUGUUAAAAGAAGGUCUUUAGGCGGAAGGAAAAUCAUGUGUAGAUCAGAUGCUUGAAUCUACAUAAAGAAUCUAUGGCCAUACCACCCUGAACGUGCCCAAUCUCGUCUGAAUCUACAUAAAGAAAAAAGAAAGCAUCAGAGAAGUAGUUCAUGAAGUAUUCCUUAUGUGCACAUGAGAAAGUCACCACAGAAAAGAAAGCAACCUGAUGCUGUCAGAGUGACUCACGUAUCCUCUAUUCUUGGAAGGAGGAGAAAAGAUGGAAGGCCAAUGCAAUACUUUGUUACAUGGAUCUUAUGUUACAUUAUGUCUGUGGCCCAGCAUGCUUAUGUGAAAGAAAGAAUACCAGUCUCAUUUUUCAGGUAUACAACUUCAAGAGAACACCAUGGCUUUAGUCAAAAGGAAAGAAGCUGCGUCAUGUUGUCGGUGUUUGAAGGAAGAAAAGGCUGAAGAUAAUUCUUUAUCAGGUGGAACAGAACCUCUUAUAUGAAAACUCUCUGUUCCCAUCAUUCAAAGACUACCAGGAACACAUCUGUGAUCAACAAAGAGAUUAUCUUGGUAGGAUGCCUGCUGAUGUUGGCUUUGAGUGACGUGACCUUCAACGCUUCCUUAAACAUGGACAUGAAAAGGAUCAGCUUCCAGCAGAUUAAGUGAAGUCAAGAAAACUACCAAGAAAAAAAAAUAAUAAAGGCAGUUUAACUUUGAAAGCAAUUUUACUCAAUAUUUCUAAUUUGCCUUUAAGACUUGUAAGAGCCUAGCUUAAAUAAACAGAUUUCUAGAUC